AGCGAACGCUGGCGGCAGGCUUAACACAUGCAAGUCGAGCGGGCACUUCGGUGUCAGCGGCAGACGGGCGAGUAACACGUGGGAACGUACCCUUUGGUUCGGAAUAACGCUGGGAAACUAGCGCUAAUACCGGAUACGCCCUUUUGGGGAAAGGCUUGCUGCCGAAGGAUCGGCCCGCGUCUGAUUAGCUAGUUGGUGGGGUAAUGGCCUACCAAGGCGACGAUCAGUAGCUGGUCUGAGAGGAUGAUCAGCCACACUGGGACUGAGACACGGCCCAGACUCCUACGGGAGGCAGCAGUGGGGAAUAUUGGACAAUGGGCGCAAGCCUGAUCCAGCCAUGCCGCGUGAGUGAUGAAGGCCUUAGGGUUGUAAAGCUCUUUUGUCCGGGACGAUAAUGACGGUACCGGAAGAAUAAGCCCCGGCUAACUUCGUG
rnacentral:rRNA from 1 species